UACGUAGGGCGCAAGCGUUGUCCGGAUUUAUUGGGCGUAAAGAGCUCGUAGGCGGCUCGUUGCGUCGGCUGUGAAAACCCGCAGCUUAACUGUGGGCCUGCAGCCGAUACGGGCGGGCUAGAGUUCGGUAGGGGAGACUGGAAUUCCUGGUGUAGCGGUGAAAUGCGCAGAUAUCAGGAGGAACACCGGUGGCGAAGGCGGCGACCUGGGUAGAUACUGACGCUGAGGUGCGAAAGCGUGGGGAGCAAACAGG
rnacentral:rRNA from 1 species